CGUUACCUCUAGGCUACACGUAAAAAACAUCCAAUAUCACGAUGUGAAACUAUAUUUAGAGAGGGAGUGCAUAAGAAAUCAUUGACGGAUCAAAUUACGUUCUUUACAUCUACAUUGACAAGUUGUAUUGCAUUUUCAUUUGUCAAAACAAAUCUUCUGUCAAAUGAAGAUUCUGAUUAGAUAGACUACUUACGUUUAGCAUAUGAGUAAUGACCCGAUGAAGCUCGAAUCAUAUUUGUUGUAUCGCAAGAACACACUACAAGAACAUUUACAGUGUUCUCAACUGGCAUAGAUCGUCGGGUAAAAGAGAGUUCGGAGAACACUUUGAUAAGAUGACCAUUUUAAUUCAUGCUGUACUCGUUGUCUCCCUCCUGUUCGGGACAGCCGUCAACUCUCAGUCGGUGUACCAGCAGACCUACGGACAGGGUGUCUACUCCCAGAACCCAAGGGGUCCAGUGCUGGCUGUGCCUCCGAACCAGUCGAACAUCCUUCUAUUAAUUAUACCAGUUAUUCUUGUUGUGUUUGUUUUGGCAAUCAUUCCAGUAAUCAUCGGUAGUUCUUGGAGUAUGACAGACAGAAUGAAAUCACGCUAUACCCGGCCUCCAUCUACAACCACUACAACGCCGAUCUCGACAACUACGAUUCCACAGAAUUAACCAAUGACUCGCACACCAAUCCCUAGAGUAUCCGAAAUAUCUGGUAUCAGACCAGACAUUUCAGCAGUGUAGCGAUGAACAUUAAAAUUAUUAUUAACAGACGUUUGUGUUUCUCUCUUAUUCAGGACUUCUUCUAAUAAUUUAACCUCGAGAUGGAAGUUGGUCAAACUUACAGACUUUUGAAAAAUGUCAAUCAUAGUUUUC